rnacentral:rRNA from 1 species
CCUACGGGCGGCAGCAGUGGGGAAUAUUGGACAAUGGGGGGAACCCUGAUCCAGCCAUGCCGCGUGUGUGAAGAAGGCCCUCGGGUUGUAAAGCACUUUCAGUGAGGAAGAACGCCUGGUGGUUAAUACCCAUCAGGAAAGACAUCACUCACAGAAGAAGCACCGGCUAACUCCGUGCCAGCAGCCGCGGUAAUACGGAGGGUGCGAGCGUUAAUCGGAAUUACUGGGCGUAAAGCGCGCGUAGGUGGCUUGAUAAGCCGGUUGUGAAAGCCCCGGGCUCAACCUGGGAACGGCAUCCGGAACUGUCAAGCUAGAGUGCAGGAGAGGAAGGUAGAAUUCCCGGUGUCGCGGUGAAAUGCGUAGAGCUCGGGAGGAAUACCAGUGGCGAAGGCGGCCUUAUGGACUGACACUGACACUGAGGUGCGAAAGCGUGGGUAGCAAACAGGAUCAGAGACCCUUGUAGUA